rnacentral:rRNA from 1 species
UACGUAGGGUGCGAGCGUUAAUCGGAAUUACUGGGCGUAAAGCGUGCGCAGGCGGUUCGUUGUGUCGGCGGUGAAAGCCCCGGGCUUAACCUGGGAAUGGCCGUUGAAACUGGCGAACUGGAGUGUGGCAGAGGGGGGUGGAAUUCCGCGUGUAGCAGUGAAAUGCGCAGAUAUCGGGAGGAACACCAAUGGCGAAGGCAGCUCGCUGGGACGUUACUGACGCUGAGACGCGAAAGCGUGGGGAGCAAACAGGG